AACGCACAUUGCGCCCUUUGGCAUUCCAUAGGGCAUGCCUGUUCGAGCGUCACUAACAACCCCAUCACAAAGAGUGUGGUAUUGGCAGAAGUGGGUAGGGCUGGCAGUGCUGGCCCCACUCUGCUGGAAUGAAUUGGCCGGAAAUGUAGACAAUGGUGACAGACUUUCAGAGUAUCUCGUAAUGCUAAAUUAGUUUGUAGGCCGGUCAGAAUCCAGGCUGUUGGACCCCCAUUCUGUGUAAAGCAGUAAUGUUGACCUCGGAUCAGGUAGGGAUACCCGCUGAACUUAA
rnacentral:misc_RNA from 1 species